rnacentral:rRNA from 1 species
GACGAACGCUGGCGGCGUGCUUAACACAUGCAAGUCGAGCGGUAAGGCCCUUUCGGGGGUACACGAGCGGCGAACGGGUGAGUAACACGUGGGUGACCUGUCCUCAGCUCUGGGAUAAGCCUGGGAAACCGGGUCUAAUACCGGAUAUGACUCCAUGACGCAUGUUGUGGGGUGGAAAGCCUUGUGCGGCUGAGGAUGGGCCCGCGGCCUAUCAGCUUGUUGGUGGGGUGAUGGCCUACCAAGGCGACGACGGGUAGCCGGCCUGAGAGGGCGACCGGCCACACUGGGACUGAGACACGGCCCAGACUCCUACGGGAGGCAGCAGUGGGGAAUCUUGCGCAAUGGGCGAAAGCCUGACGCAGCGACGCCGCGUGAGGGAUGACGGCCUCGG